rnacentral:rRNA from 1 species
UAAAACCAGCUCCUCGAGUAGUCGGGAGUAUUAUUGGGUCUAAAGCGUCCGUAGCCUGCCCUGUAAGUUCCUGGUCAAAUCCAGCGGCCUAACCGUUGGUUCGCUGGGGAUACUGCAGGGCUUGGGAACGAGAGAGGCCAAGGGUACUUAUGGGGUAGGGGUGAAAUCCUGUAAUCCCAUAGGGACCACCGGUGGCGAAGGCGCUUGGCUGGAACGUGUCCGACGGUGAGGGACGAAAGCCAGGGGAGCGAACCGGAUUAGAUACCCGGGUAGUCCUGGCUGUAAACGAUGCGGGCUAGGUGUUUGCGUGGCUACGGGCUGCGCAAGUGCCGUAGAGAAGUCGUUAAGCCCGCCACCUGGGGAGUACGGCCGCAAGGCUG